GCCUUAACGUGGUUGCUAUCAUGCCAUCCGGUUAAUUGGUUGAACACAAGCUAUCGCAACCCAUAUAGCUAGCUAAGGGUAAUCAUGUGAAAAACAAGCCCGUAUCAUUAUAUUAAACCAAAAUAGGUUACAUGGUACAUAAAUUUGGGGUGAAAACUCUAUUUACAACCAACAAAUUUUAUCAAUGACAUAGUAACCCACGGCACCGCCCAUCGAGAAAUUUAUCAAUGACAUGAUAGAACCCAAUGCACUGCCUCUAGCUAGGUAACCGACAUCGAAGAGUGAUGCACCCGCGAUAGAGAUACUGCUGGAAAGCUCAGGAGAACAUGAAGAUGAACAGAAGACCUCUUCGUCCACCAGACAUCCCUCCUGUCGGCCACCUGGAGCACGCCUAAAUCCUCCGGCUUCCUCAUCCGACAGCUCCAGGAUUGAUGGGCCCUUCCUCGAGAACGCCAGGCGAUUGCCGAACCUCCCCGGUUGCAUCCAGCUCUUGCAAUCAGGCUUCAGCUAGAGCACUUGGAGAUCCAUGGCAAUUUGCAGGCUCGAGCACCCUACGGCUCCAUCAGCGGACCACCCGAGCGGCGACGAUACAACGGUUGUGGAUGAAGUGGUGAGCUCAUCGCCGCAACAACACCAGUUCACAUUGUGGAAGUUCUAAAGGGAGUGUUGGCAGUGGGGAUAGGUCGACGCACUCACGCGAGAGUUUUCCUUGUGAUGUAAACGGAGGAAACAUUCCGCCGGAUCCAUUUAGGAGUCCCGCGAGAGUUGCCUGUGGAGAUUGGCAUCACUGUAUUCAUGGACAUUUAGAAGGCCAAGAUGCGUUCAAUCGUCCAGAAGUCAGUAGCCAGCCGUAAAGCAUCACUCUCGAUACCAGGCUAUUUAGGUACGGAUGGUAUGGGACAGACUUUGAACAUAUCAUGAAAGAAGAUCUUUGAUUGCAACUAUCGAGUUUCAGUGGAAGUGGGGAACGAGGAAGGAAAGGUAGCAACUUUUCAAUGGCAAGGUAUCGCGUGAAGUUGGCGCAGCAGUCCUCGAACUUCCAGCGAGACCAUAAGAGGUUCCUAAUGAUGGAGUUCGCCAUUAAUUCAUGGAAGCAGGGGCUUGGACCCAGGAGAGAGAGAAAGGUUUCGUGAUCUUCUAUCUAUCGGUGGAAGGAUGGAAGAUUGAACGGGGCAAGGAGAGGGAGAGGCACGCAAGGAAUGGGUAAAUGCGUACGAAAAGCUCUUGUUGUUGGUA
rnacentral:lncRNA from 1 species